rnacentral:rRNA from 1 species
UGGGGAAUAUUGGACAAUGGGCGCAAGCCUGAUCCAGCAAUGCCGCGUGCAGGAUGAAGGCCUUCGGGUUGUAAACUGCUUUUGUACGGAACGAAACGGCUCUGUCUAAUACAUGGGGCUAAUGACGGUACCGUAAGAAUAAGCACCGGCUAACUACGUGCCAGCAGCCGCGGUAAUACGUAGGGUGCGAGCGUUAAUCGGAAUUACUGGGCGUAAAGCGUGCGCAGGCGGUGAUGUAAGACAGGUGUGAAAUCCCCGGGCUUAACCUGGGAAUUGCAUUUGUGACUGCAUCGCUGGAGUGCGGCAGAGGGGGAUGGAAUUCCGCGUGUAGCAGUGAAAUGCGUAGAUAUGCGGAGGAACACCGAUGGCGAAGGCGAUCUACUGGAACAUUAUUGACGCUGAGGCAUGAAAGCGUGGGGGGCAAGCA